GAGAUUAAUAUAAUUUGCCUGUGCAGUUGAAAUUGUUAUUGCGCCCGGGUGGUUCGUGAGGAAUUGCUUGUCUUCUCUUAAAUCUGCACGGAAUCACAAGUAGAAUUAUCUGUAUUGAGCUAGGAAAUUUCAAUAAGGUCUUCCAGGUAUGAUCUCAUUUAGCGAAAGUAAAUAAAUAAAUAAUUGAGGCCUUGUGAGGUUAAAGAGUUAUGGAUCUUUGCAUGGGAAUACAAGCUUCCAGGUAUGAUCUCAGUCUGAGCAUCUCAAUUUUGCCUGGGAAUGGAUUAAACUUUCUCUCACUAAUUGAACGAUAAGUCUUUUUAUAAUGCUCUCAUCCUAAUUUCAUACCAAAUUCCAGUCUUACUUUUCUUAAUGACUUAGGUCACUUAAACUUUAAGUGAAACUCUUAGAAUCAAGCCUAAGAGUUAGAAAAACUACUGGAUGUAGAAAUGAGGGCUUAGGGCAUCUCCAACCGAAAAUCCCAUUUUUCACUCCAAAAUACAGUGAAACUAAAAAAUGUCGUGAUUCAUCUUCAAUCGAACUCCAUUUUACACGCUUCUACAAAGGUAGUUGUCUUUCUCCUCAUUCACGUGCUUCUUCGACAAAUUCGGUCAAGAUAGAAAAAUAGCGUAGGUGAACAGUGCAACGCCAAUAUUGGCAAUCGCACUGUUCACCCUCCACCGAUUAGUGAUUUUUUUUACGUUCGAAUGGAGCAAAUCAGCUACGCCUUACAAUCGUUUGGAGUUCAGCUAGAGAUGUCCUUACCUGCAGUAUCCCACAAGCCAAGGUUCACAGUGCUGCCUUCCACCACCACAUUUGCACUGAAGUUAUCAAACACCGUAGGGACAUAAUCCUACACAUCAUCCGGGAAAAUAAAGGCAAUGAUCAAGAAAGAAACAAAAUAGGGAUGUAAAAUAUGGACGAGCGUAGUAUGAAUAUGAAUGUUGAUAAGAAAUUUGUACAGCAAUUUUGAUAAGGAGCUCAAUAUAUGAUUUCUUAAACUUCUUAAACAUUGCUUACCGUUGGAAAAGUGUUGCUAGUGUAGGA